CCCUGUUACGGAUAAUUCAACAGGAAACCUAACUAAUAAGAAAUCCACCCAAAAAUCUCCCUGUAUGGUGAGUUUUGUUACAUAUUUUUCAACUAGGGAAAUAUAUUUAAAAAAAAACUUCUCUCUGUGUACACAGCCUCAGGUGAUGAUAUUGUUGUCACAAGUGACGGAGGAAUACUGUGGUUGACUGCUGUAGGCACAUGUGUUAUCAGACCAGGUGGGACAAGAAAAGCAUUGCCAAUGGAGUGCCAGAAGAGGGGUAAUAUGAGUCAAAUCCCAUCAAAGCAAAGGCAAAGAUUCAUGAAUGAAUUGUUGAGUUCAUCUUCUCCGAAACCCAAAAUGUGUCCUGUGAAGGGUCCUCUGCAGGAAGCUCCGCUGCCAAGACAGAAUGGUUUCUCCUGCCAUUGUUUGGUGAUGGAGUUCUGGUGAAGCGUU